rnacentral:rRNA from 1 species
UACAGAGGGUGCAAGCGUUAAUCGGAAUUACUGGGCGUAAAGCGUGCGUAGACGGUUAUUUAAGUCAGGUGUGAAAGCCCCGGGCUCAACCUGGGAAUUGCAUUUGAGACUGAAUAGCUAGGGUGCGGAAGAGGGAAGCGGAAUUCCGCGUGUAGCAGUGAAAUGCGUAGAGAUGCGGAGGAACACCGAUGCGCAAGGCAGCCC